rnacentral:piRNA from 1 species
UUCCCAGUUGUGGCUGCCUAUGACACC